AGCACUGAGACUCAAACCUGCGACCUUCUGGUUACAAGUCCAAUUCUCUAACCGUUAGGCCACAGCUGCCCUCAUAUCAGCCACAUUGCUGUACAGUGUGGAAAAGAAAAAUAAAUCAACACUCUAUAUGCUGCUUGCUAUACUCUAAAUAUUGUAAUAUCAUCAUGUAGCUUUCCCCCCAACCAGUCCUUUCAUGUUUUAUCCAUGGUUUUACCGCAUUGGUUCUGUUUGAUUGUAAAAUUAAUAAUGGUUUAUUUUUCACUUGUCAACUCUCAUUAGGCGGAGGAUCAGGGUUUGUGGGUCGUGAACUGACACGUUUGCUGAAAAGCAAAGGUCAUGAAAUUACAAUUAUAUCCAGGCAGCCUGGCCCAGGACAAAUAUCAUGGGUAUGGGGUAAAUUACAUUGAUAUGCACUGAAGUCGACUUUUACUUUUGAUUUUUGAACGUGUGCAUAUAUCAGCAGUUAAUCUAUAUUUGCUUUUAAAUACAAGUUAAAUUAAUACCAAACAUGAUAUGAACCUGAUUAGCUACUAUGUUAUUCAACAUCAUAAUAAUAAUUAAUUACCUCACUCUGGAGUCAUUCAUGAAUGUAUGAUGUUAAAAUACCUCUUAAAGAUAAAGUUCAAUCUAAAUGUUGCAUUUUGGUAACUUAGACCCAUAUUUACCUGUCCCAACAGGCUGAUGUAGAGUCACGUGAGGGUGCUGUGAAUGUAGCAGGGGAGAAUAUUAUGAAUCCUUUAAGAUGGUGGAAUGAAAAUUACAGAGUCGAGUAAGCCGAGUAAAAGCAACCAAAAUUCUUGCCCAAGACAUUGCUGCUUCACCUACUCCUCCACAUUCAUGGGUGUUUGUUACAGGAGUAGGUGCAGUGUUAGGGCGUGACGGUGGCACCAUGAAACAGAUGUUGAUUCCCUUCUGGCUUGGCCUGGAUGGGACACUUGGCUCAGGACGACAGCCCUUCCCUUGGAUCGAUGUGUCAGACCUUGUUGGCAUCAUCACCUAUGCCUUGGAGCCCAAAGAAGGACCCCCAUCCACAGAGCCUGAUGUAUUUAAUGGAGUUUCCCCUUCAUUGAAUACCAAUUUUGAAUUCACUAAGGCAUUGGGCAGGUCUCUAAAAAGACGUACUAUCUUCCCUGUGCCUGGCUUUUUCUUGGAUGUCUUCCUCGGUUCUGAGAGAGCUGUUAUCCUCACACAAGGCCAGAAAGUGGUGCCCAAGAAAACCCUUGAGUCUGGCUUUGUGUUUCAAUACCCAGAUCUUACUUCUGCUCUAAAAUUGUUGGAUAUUAGCAAUCACUCAAAACAGAGAAGAGACCUUUUAAGCAUACAAGUGCAGUAUAUUUCUAAUAAUAUAUAAUUUUUAAAUUUAAAUUAAGCAUAAAAAAAUAAAUCUUGAUUGUACUUGCAUGAUUUAUUGUACAUACUCAGAAAGACACAUUGUUCUCAGCUCCUUUGUCUGUCCCCCUUAAGAAUUACUUAUAUUUAUCUGUGUGUUCAAAAUGAGCACUUCAUUUGUAAAUAAAUGUUUAUAUGAAAAUUACUGAGUCCAGCUGUGGUAUAUUCCAUCAUUAUGUAAUCAUAGCAGAUGUUAUGUG